AUAAAUGUAUACCUACCAAUGUUCGUUUAUCUUCAGGAAUUAAAUUAAUGUAAUCAAGAAAUUCUAUUGCUCUUUGAGUUUUAUGACAGAGAUGUUUUGUAAUUGCAAGUUGAAGGCUAGCACAUAAAUUGUAAACAUCAGAGAAACUAAAUCUACAGUCCUGAUAUGACUUCAGAGAGUCAUUAAAAAUAAAUUGAUUUACAUUAGAUGCCCUGCAUGCCGCUGCUUCUACUGCUUGACCUCCACUCAUAUUAUUAAAAUCUUUUAUAUUAUUCAAUUUAAGUCUACGAGCAGCCUAUAAAAUACUUCUAUAUUUUAUUUAUGUAAUUGCAAUAUAAUAUUUAUAAAAAUUA